UACGAAGGGUGCAAGCGUUAAUCGGAAUUACUGGGCGUAAAGCGUGCGUAGGCGGUUUGUUAAGUCUGCUGUGAAAUCCCCGGGCUCAACCUGGGAAUGGCAGUGGAUACUGGCAGCUAGAGUGUGUCAGAGGAUGGUGGAAUUCCCGGUGUAGCGGUGAAAUGCGUAGAGAUCGGGAGGAACAUCAGUGGCGAAGGCGGCCAUC
rnacentral:rRNA from 1 species